rnacentral:rRNA from 1 species
GAUGAACGCUGGCGGCGUGCCUAAUACAUGCAAGUCGAGCGAACAGACGAGGAGCUUGCUCCUCUGACGUUAGCGACUGACGGGUGAGUAACACGUGGAUAACAUACCUAUAAUACUGGGAUAACUUCGGGAAACCGGAGCUAAUACCGGAUAAUAUAUUGAACCGCAUGGUUCAAUAGUGAAAGACGCUUUUGCUGUCUCUAAUAGAUGGAUCCGCGCCGCAUUAGCUAGUUGGUAAGGUAACGGCUUACCAAGGCAACGAUGCGUAGCCGACCUGAGAGGGUGAUCGGCCACACUGGAACUGAGACACGGUCCAGACUCCUACGGGAGGCAGCAGUAGGGAAUAUUCCGCAAUGGGCGAAAGCCUGACGGAGCAACGCCGCGUGAGUGAUGAAGGUCUUCGGAUCGUAAAGCUCUGUUAUUAGGGAAGAACAACUGUGUAAGUAACUAUGCACGUCUUGACGGUACCUAAUCAGAAAGCCACGGCUAACUACGUG